UGAGGAAUAUUGGUCAAUGGGCGAGAGCCUGAACCAGCCAAGUAGCGUGCAGGAUGACGGCCCUAUGGGUUGUAAACUGCUUUUAUGUGGGGAUAAAGUGCGUGACGUGUCAUGCAUUGCAGGUACCACAUGAAUAAGGACCGGCUAAUUCCGUGCCAGCAGCCGCGGUAAUACGGAAGGUCCGGGCGUUAUCCGGAUUUAUUGGGUUUAAAGGGAGCGUAGGCUGUCUAUCAAGCGUGUUGUGAAAUAUACCGGCUCAACCGGUGGCUUGCAGCGCGAACUGGUCGACUUGAGUAUGCAGGAAGUAGGCGGAAUUCAUGGUGUAGCGGUGAAAUGCUUAGAUAUCAUGACGAACUCCGAUUGCGCAGGCAGCUUACUGUAGCAUAACUGACGCUGAUGCGCGAAAGUGCGGGUAUCAAACAGG
rnacentral:rRNA from 1 species